GUUUUUCAAAUUAUUUAAGAACUCUUUAAUAAACUCAUGGUGAUUACUGAAAGUUUAAAACUUUCCCCUAUUAAAGCCAGAGUUGGAUUACAAUUCCACAUGGCCUUAGGCAUCUUGUCAGUUCCACCCCCUUCUUUUUUCACAGAAGGAUGGCUAAUGGUGCCAAGCAAAAUCAUUGUUCAGGGCCCCUGUCCAGGGCCUUAUGGUUAGUCUUGCUCUUAAUAAAGCUCAUUAUGAAUGAACUUCACAGCUUUCAGAAGUUGCUCUAAAUGUAUUCUAAGUAUUAACGAGGCCCUCCUGUAUUAGAG